rnacentral:lncRNA from 1 species
AUGAGUGUCUGGAGCUGUGAUUAACCAGGCAGCAACACAUCAUUUCCUCCCGGCGCGGAUCCAGGGAGCCGGGGAGGGAGCGGGAAAGGCGGCGCGGCGGGGCGGGGCCGUCCCCGCGCCCCUGCAGGCGCCCGGCCCUGAGGGAGCGGCCCAGCCCCCGAGCCGGCCGGGAGCAAGCCGCCGGGCCCUGCGCCCCGCGCCGUCUGUCUGGCAGGCUGGGGCCGCCGGCGCGGGUCUCCUCGGAGGCGACGGGCAGGCCUGAGCCGGGCUCCCGCGGCUGGGGUGGCAGGAGGAGAGGCCGCGCGGCGCGGGGAGAGCCCAGAUUACUCCAGACCCUGAGCCACUGAUAACUCUCCAAGACGAUACCUGCCAUAGAAUACAUGCUAAACAAUCAUCUAUUGAACAAAUGCGACUGGAAACCAAAUUAUCAAUUUUAGCAGAUACAUAACAGUUGCCUUAUAUUAGAUUCAGACACUGACAGGAAGUGAAGCCCUAGAAAGUGAAGCCCUUUCAAAGCCCUGCUGAUGACAGGGCCUGGAUCCCUGAGUUACUGGUUGGAGUGGAGUUACCUGGAGUUGCCUCCCGAGCAGGAACAUCCAUGUUGGACAUUUUAGGAAACAAGCUGCUGGAUUCCCAUCUCGGGACAUGGAGGAGGGGGUGCCUUUCUGUCCUCUCCUAUCUUCGUCAAGCCAUAUGCAACUGGCAGCCACCACGCUUCGCUCUGCAGGAGGAG